CCUACGGGAGGCUGCAGUGAGGAAUAUUGGUCAAUGGCCGUAAGGCUGAACCAGCCAAGUCGCGUGAAGGAAGAAGGUGCUAUGGAUUGUAAACUUCUUUUAUCGGGGAAUAAAGGUAUCCACGUGAGCCUGUUUGCAUGUACCUUAUGAAUAAGCAUCGGCUAACUCCGUGCCAGCAGCCGCGGUAAUACGGAGGAUGCGAGCGUUAUCCGGAUUUAUUGGGUUUAAAGGGUGCGUAGGUUGUUUUUUAAGUCAGCGGUGAAAGUUUGUGGCUCAACCAUAAAAUAGCCGUUGAAACUGGAAGACUUGAGAGUGUUUGAGGUAGGCGGAAUGCGUAGUGUAGCGGUGAAAUGCAUAGAUAUCGCGCAGAACUCCGAUUGCGAAGGCAGCUUACU
rnacentral:rRNA from 1 species